ACCGUCUUAAAAGGCUAUGUCUACCAAAGAGUCAGGAAAGCAUGACCACUUACUUUCUUCAUUUUUGAAACUCAGAGGUACCUCACGCACACUCCCAAAUAAAACUGCACAAGUUCCUUAGUUUAAUUAGAUCCCAUUUGUCAAUUUUGGCUUUUGUUGCCAUUGCUUUUGGUGUUUUAGUCAUGUGUAAGGAAUGGGUCCAGUUUCAGUUUCCUGCAUAAGGCUAGCCAGUUUUCCCAACACCAUUUAUUAAAUAGGUAAUCUUUUCCCCAUUGAUUGCUUUUUGUCAGGUUUGUCAAAGAUCAUAUGGUUGUAGAUGUAUGGUGUUACUUCUGAGGCCUCCGUUCUGUUCCAUUGGUCUAUAUCGCUGUUUUGGUACCCGUACCAUGCUGUUUUCAUUACUAUAGCCUUGUAGUAUAGUUUGAAGUCAGGUAGCGUGAUGCCCCCAGCUCUGUUCUUUUUGCUUAGGAUUGUCUUGGCU
rnacentral:lncRNA from 1 species